rnacentral:miRNA from 1 species
AUUAAGGCACGCGGUGAAUGCCA